CUUGACACCCAUAAGAGGUCCAGCCUGCCCAGUGACUCUGUUCAACGGCCGCGGUAUCCUAACCGUGCGAAGGUAGCGUAAUCACUUGUUCUUUAAAUGAGGACUAGUAUGAACGGCACCACGAAGGUUAUACUGUCUCCUUUUUCUAAUCAGUGAAACUAAUCUUCCCGUGAAGAAGCGGGAAUGUAAAUAUAAGACGAGAAGACCCUAUGGAGCUUUAAACAAACAUACAACUGCCUUCUUUUAUAAAUAUUUCAGAAGAAAACUUUUAUUUAGGCAUUUUGAUAUAGAGUUUUAGGUUGGGGUGACCACGGAGUAAAAAACAACCUCCGCAAUGAAAGGGGCUCUUCCCCUAAGCUAAGGGCUACAACCCUAAGAAUCAAAAAAUUGACACCAAUUGACCCAAUUUACUUGAUCAAUGAAC
rnacentral:rRNA from 1 species